rfam:Felis catus isolate Cinnamon breed Abyssinian chromosome B3, whole genome shotgun sequence.
GCCUGGGUGGCUCAAUCAGUUGGGCAUCCGACUUCGGCUCAGGUCAUGAUCUCAUGGCUCGUGGGUUCGAGCCCCACGUCGGGCU